UACGAAGGGUGCAAGCGUUACUCGGAAUUACUGGGCGUAAAGCGUGCGUAGGUGGUGAGUUAAGUCUGUCGUGAAAGCCCCGGGCUCAACCUGGGAAUGGCGAUGGAUACUGGCUCGCUAGAGUGCGGUAGAGGAGAGUGGAAUUCUCGGUGUAGAGGUGAAAUUCGUAGAUAUCGAGAGGAACACCGGUGGCGAAGGCGGCGAUCUGGACGAUGACUGACGCUGAGACGCGAAAGCGUGGGGAGCAAACAGG
rnacentral:rRNA from 1 species